rnacentral:tRNA from 1 species
GCGGGUGUGGUGAAAUGGCUCUCAUGCAAUCCUUCCAAGAUUGAGUUGCGGGUUCGAUUCCCGCCACCCGCACCA